GGCCUCGUAGUUCAACUGGAUAGAAUGACAGAUUUCGGCUCUGUUGGUUGCAGGUUCGAAUCCUGCCGAGGUCACAA
rnacentral:tRNA from 1 species